UUCGCUGCUCGGCCUUUUGGCUAAGAUCAAGUGUAGUAUCUGUCCUUGUCUGUUUAAUAUCUGAUACGUCCCCCAGCGGGGGACUACAUAUUAAGCGGAUUUUUAGAACAGGGAGUCGGCAAAGGGGCUUGCUCCAUCCGCUCCACGCAUCGACCCAGUAUUGCAGUGCCUCUGGGAGCGGUGCACUUUCU
ensembl:snRNA U2 U2 spliceosomal RNA